rnacentral:rRNA from 1 species
UGAGCCAGUUAUACGACCGUACCGCAAACCGACACUGGUGCGCGAGAUGAGUAUUCUAAGGCGCUUGAGAGAACUCAGGAGAAGGAACUCGGCAAAUUGACACCGUAACUUCGGAAGAAGGUGUGCCCUAUUAGUGUGUAGUGAACAACGAAGCAUGAAUGGGUUGCAAAAAAUCGGUGGCUGCGACUGUUUAUUAAAAACACAGCACUCUGCAAACACGAAAGUGGACGUAUAGGGUGUGACGCCUGCCCGGUGCUGGAAGAUUAAAUGAUGGGGUGCAAGCUCUUGAUUGAAGUCCCAGUAAACGGCGGCCGUAACAAUAACGGUCCUAAGGUAGCGAAAUUCCUCGUCGGGUAAGUUCCGACCUGCACGAAUGGCGUAACGAUGGCCACACUGUCUCCUCCUGAGACUCAGCGAAGUAGAAAUGUUUGUGAUGAUGCAAUCUCCCCGCGGAAAGACGGAAAGACCCCAUGAACCUUUACUGUAGCUUUGUAUUGGACUUUGAACAGAUCUGUGUAGGAUAGGUGGGAGGCUUUGAAGCAGGGUCGCUAGAUCUUGUGGAGCCAACGUUGAAAUACCACCCUGGUGUGUUUGAGGUUCUAACCUAGGUCCAUUAUCUGGAUCGGGGACAGUGCAUGGUAGGCAGUUUGACUGGGGCGGUCUCCUCCCAAAGCGUAACGGAGGAGUUCGAAGGUACGCUAGUUACGGUCGGACAUCGUGACGAUAGUGCAAUGGCAUAAGCGUGCUUAACUGCGAGACUGACAAGUCGAGCAGAUGCGAAAGCAGGACAUAGUGAUCCGGUGGUUCUGUAUGGAAGGGCCAUCGCUCAACGGAUAAAAGGUACUCUGGGGAUAACAGGCUGAUACCGCCCAAGAGUUCAUAUCGACGGCGGUGUUUGGCACCUCGAUGUCGGCUCAUCUCAUCCUGGGGCUGUAGCCGGUCCCAAGGGUAUGGCUGUUCGCCAUUUAAAGAGGUACGUGAGCUGGGUUUAAAACGUCGUGAGACAGUUUGGUCCCUAUCUUCCGUGGGCGCUGCAGAUUUGAGGAAGCCUGCUCCUAGUACGAGAGGACCGGAGUGGACACACCUCUGGUGUAUCGGUUGUCACGCCAGUGGCAUUGCCGAGUAGCUAAGUGUGGAAGAGAUAACCGCUGAAAGCAUCUAAGCGGGAAACUCGUUUCAAGAUGAGAUCUGCCGGGGCCUUGAGCCCCCUAAAGAGUCGUUCAAGACCAGGACGUUGACAGGUCAGGUGUGGAAGCGUAG